UCUUCUUUCUACAAAUAUCAUCAUAACCUUUUUAUCUUUUCAACAUCAUUAUAUUAAUACUUUCUUUUCUUUUCUCCCCCACUUUCUUCUCGUGUCCACUCUCAUUUUUUAAAAGCCAUGUGAAUGCCAUUUGUUUAAAACCAGAAGCAGAGCAGCCGCGAGUUUUGGGGAGAGAGCAACGCAGAGAAGCAGGGAGAGAGGCCGAGAGUAUGAAUGACAGCAAAUGCUCUCCUUUGUUAUCAUGCAAAGGAGUUAGUCAGUAUGCAUCUAAGCUUAAGUUCUGGAGAUUUUUAGAUGGGUUGUCUUGUCAAAACUCGAAUUAUGAAGAUGAGUUAGUUGACAAGACAGGUGCUAGACGAGCUGAGUUUUGCCUAUUUUUGUACACUUUGUAAUGAUUUUGUAAUAUUUACUUGUAUAAGAGUUCUUAUUUUAUGUCUUUAGUUUUACUUUUAGAGCAACUCCACCCAUGGAGCCCUUCCCCCUGGUAAUCCACUAUUCAAUCCACCCUAUUGAACAGUAACUGCCUUAAAUAAACAGUAA